GGCCUACCAUGGUGGUAACGGGUAACGGGGUGUUAGGGCACGACACCGGAGAGGGAGCCUGAGAAACGGCUACCACAUCCAAGGAAGGCAGCAGGCGCGCAAAUUACCCAAUCCCGACACGGGGAGGUAGUGACAAUAAAUAACAAUACAGGGUUCUUUUGGACCUUGUAAUUGGAAUAAGUACAAUUUAAAUCUCUUAACGAGGAACAAUUGGAGGGCAAGUCUGGUGCCAGCAGCCGCGGUAAUUCCAGCUCCAAUAGCGUAUAUUAAAGUUGUUGCAGUUAAAAAGCUCGUAGUUGAAUUUCGGGAUCAAUAUAUCGGUCGUGCCUCUGGUUCGUACUGGUAUCAUUGAUUUCUCCUUUCUGACGAACCAUGAUGUCAUUAAUUUGGUGUUAGGGGGAGUUAGGACUGUUACUUUGAAAAAAUUAGAGUGUUUAAAGCAGGCAUUAGCUUGAAUACAUUAGCAUGGAAUAAUGAAAUAGGACGUUUGACCCUAUUUUAUUGGUUUCUAGGAUCGACGUAAUGAUUAAUAGGGAUAGUUGGGGGCAUUAGUAUUCAAUUGUCAGAGGUGAAAUUCUUGGAUUUAUUGAAGACUAACUACUGCGAAAGCAUUUGCCAAGGAUGUUUUCAUUAAUCAAGAACGAAAGUUAGGGGAUCGAAGACGAUCAGAUACCGUCGUAGUCUUAACCAUAAACUAUGCCGACUAGGGAUCGGAUGAUGUUAAUUUUAUAUGACUCAUUCGGCGCCUUACG
rnacentral:rRNA from 1 species